GCAGGAGCAGUUAAAACUUAGAGGAAUGAAUGGGAAAAAUGGAGUUCCUGUGCAUUCGUUGUUGGGGUGGAGCUCUGACCGGUUUCAAUGAUACAACAGUGACACCUGGGGGUCAGUCGGGGUACUGCAGGUACUGCGGCAGCCCUUUACGUCAAUGUUUCCCAGGAUGCAGGCAAGAUGUUUUGCCGUCUUCGUGCAGAUUGAAGGAUGUGCUGUGUUUGUCAGUAGAGGCUGUUUUCACAUCCAUCUGUGGAAGCGGGACAGCCGGAGUUCACUUCCCACAGCAUCUAUGUGGAAACUCAAACAUUUCCUCGUUCUGCAAUUAGACUUCACAAUGAACUCCGGUGACCUGGACACAACUUAUCCUUGAUGUUUGUGGAAAUUAUGGAUGCCCUGAAUACCACGUGAUCAAGUCUUUUACCACGUUGUAAUCGAUGGAAGUAGAACAAUGACAGCCUCACAUGUCAGCAUAUAAUUAUUGAAUAAAACGACCAUAUUUGUAAUGUUUGAAGUAAUAAGAGUAUGCCAAUCUCUGUGCAUGAAGCAGGAAUGGAUAGUAUACAUUGUUUUUUUCUUAGAUAACUAAAACAUGUACAGUAUGGAACCGAAUGUAAAGUAAAUGUCAAGGUUUGCAUGACUACAGUUUUA